UACGGAGGGUGCGAGCGUUGUCCGGAUUUAUUGGGCGUAAAGCGCGCGUAGGCGGCGCGGUAUGUCGUGCGUGAAAUCUCCCGGCUUAACUGGGAGGGGCCGUGCGAAACUGCCGGGCUUGAGGUCAGAAGGGGAAAGUGGAAUUCCGGGUGUAGUGGUGGAAUACGUAGAUAUCCGGAGGAACACCAGCGGCGAAGGCGGCUUUCUGGUCUGAUACUGACGCUGAGGCGCGACAGCGUGGGGAGCAAACAGG
rnacentral:rRNA from 1 species